rnacentral:lncRNA from 1 species
GGCCAAUGAAAAUCAUUCAAGAGCAAAUGUAAAACACAGAACAUGCUUGCACUUAAUUUCUGAACUAAUCCCAUAAACAAACAUUGGAAAUUUGAAUCCAUUUGGACCACUUAACAGACAGUUUUAACAAAUGAUAUACUGCAAAGCUCUCCAAACUGUAAAGUAGACUCCUAGACAAAUUUCAGCAUAACAAUUGCUGAUUUCAACCCACAGGAACACCAGAUUGACCUAUUCAGACAACCUUUUACUACAAUACAUCUAGCAAUUUACUCAUACAAUAGAGUCCAAUCCUUAUUACAAGCCAAUGUUCUGAACCUAAACACCUAUUUAAGCUUAACACCAUAGCCCUGAGAUACUAAAAUGACUAAGAAAAACAACACAUGCAAGAAAACUACAUUACUACAAACUAAGGGAAUUUAAUCGUAAAAUGGCAGAAUAUAGCAGUAGAUGCAACUAUAAAUAGUGUUUCUAUUUAAAUCCCAACUCAGGUUCAUGAAUCUUUACACAAAUUCUAUCAGGCUUCAGCUCCAUUACAGUUUCAAGAGCAUACCUGGAAAUUGAAAAGCGAAGAAAGAAGUGAGGAAGCAAUAAGCAACAACUACCCAACAAUCAGUACCCAGAAAGUAGGAAACCAAGCAAAAAGAAACAGUUGGACUCAACCAAUGAAACAAUAACUUAUAUAAACCCAAAGCUUCAAAACAAGUUCUUCAAGACCCAAAUUCAAACCAUUCUUCGACCAAAGAUUGCAGGAUGUGAAACCUUCAGGGAUCUUAACUAAGGAAAAAGAUCAGAAACCUCCAGCUAAAUAUAGAAUUUGAUCAGGUUUCCAAAGAAAAGGCUGGAAGUCAGUAUAUUUUUUAGAACUUAUUCAGCCGUUUGUUUUCUCAGAAUUUUCUCCUCUUUCCUUCCUUCGGUCCUUCUUCAGAGGCAAGAUUGUGAUGCCUUUAUAGGCAAACAAUAGGGAAACUAUCAGAUUUUAUUGUUUCAAUUCUAGUCCCUUUCUAAUUCUUAUUUUUGCUACUUGAUCCCUCAAAUUUUUGCUUGCUUGCCAAGCAAAGCCCUUUUCCAGCUUCCAAGAAGCUUCUUCAGGUGGUUACCAAGAUAUUCCCUAGAUGAACUACCUAAAAUACCCUACAAUGAUCCUGUUUUUACCCUAAAACCACCCGGGUUAACUGGUCAAGCUAAUUGGGUCAUAGACCCUAAAUUGAAUCUUUGCUGGGCCUGCUGCUAUUCAUAAACCAAUUGCAACACUUAUGGCCCCAGAUUAGAGCUAACCAAAUUUUCCCAAACAAAGAAGCCUGGAGCUAUUUCUAAAAAAAACAACCGAAACAAAAGGCAAAAUUAAAGAACUAACCAAUCUUAUUUCAUAAUAGCAAAUUAAUUAUGGACCUAACUUCAUUAGCUAUGCAAUUAAAUUGAUAAUGAAACAUUAAAGCUUAUCAACACACAAAAUAAAAACAACAAAAUAGAGUGGAUCAAGAAUCUUAGCUAGUUCAACUAACAGAGGAACAUAAAAGGACCCAGUUCGAACCCAGAACACCCACAUGAACUUUGACCAACCCAAAAGAAAAGGGAUGAGGAGGAAGAUGAACCAGUUGAAAGAAAAUCACAAGAGAUGAAAAAGAACUUACCCAGUCAUGCUCGAAACCAAACGGAGACAGAAAACUCAACCAAAAUUAUGUCGAAUCCGUUGUUCUUUGUCAAGAACAACUGAAUCGACAUCAAUUUCAAACUUUGAAAAAAAACAUUGCAUGUUGCCGGGCUUGAAAGGAGAUGAUUUUGAACUUUUGGGUUGAACUUGGAUUUAAGAUUCGACGAGUUCAGCGCUGAUUCGAAGGGUAUGGGUUAGGGAUUUGGAGAGAAGAUAUCAUGGGGGGUAUGUGGUGUGAUUUUGGCGUUGAAAGGAGGUGGCGCUGCCACCCCAUGCUGGUGGGAAAAAAAAGGGGCGGCGCUAGGGUUCUAAAGGUUGUCUCUGAAGAGAGAGUGUGUAAGGGAGACGACUUGGGGGGGGGGGGUAGAGGAUUCAGACAGUCUUAUAUUAAAGCAACCCCA